rnacentral:rRNA from 1 species
GACGAACGCUGGCGGCGUGCCUAAUACAUGCAAGUAGAACGCUGAAGGAGGAGCUUGCUUCUCUGGAUGAGUUGCGAACGGGUGAGUAACGCGUAGGUAACCUGCCUGGUAGCGGGGGAUAACUAUUGGAAACGAUAGCUAAUACCGCAUAAGAGUAGAUGUUGCAUGACAUUUGCUUAAAAGGUGCAAUUGCAUCACUACCAGAUGGACCUGCGUUGUAUUAGCUAGUUGGUGAGGUAACGGCUCACCAAGGCGACGAUACAUGGCCGACCUGAGAGGGUGAUCGGCCACACUGGGACUGAGACACGGCCCAGACUCCUACGGGAGGCAGCAGUAGGGAAUCUUCGGCAAUGGACGGAAGUCUGACCGAGCAACGCCGCGUGAGUGAAGAAGGUUUUCGGAUCGUAAAGCUCUGUUGUAAGAGAAGAACGAGUGUGAGAGUGGAAAGUUCACACUGUGACGGUAUCUUACCAGAAAGGGACGGCUAACUACGUG